AUUCCAGCUCCAAUAGCGUAUAUUAAUGUUGUUGCAGUUAAAAAGCUCGUAGUUGGAUUCCUGGCACGGGGUAGCCGGUCCGCCUUGCAAAAGGUGCGCACUGAGCGGCCUCGGCCAUCCUUGCGAUGGUCUAUCCUGGCAUUCAGUUGUCGGGGUGGGGAUUCGCGACGUUUACUGUGAAAAAAUCAGAGUGUUCAACGCAGGCUUACGCCUUGAAUACAUUAGCAUGGAAUAAUGAGAUAGGACCUUGGCGGUCUAUUUUGUUGGUUUGCACGCCGAGGUAAUGAUUAAAAGGGACGGUUGGGGUUCUUCGUAUUCAAUUGUCAGAGGUGAAAUUCUUGGAUUUAUGGAAGACGAACUGCUGCGAAAGCGUCGAACAAGGACGUUUUCAUUA
rnacentral:rRNA from 1 species